UACGUAGGGGGCAAGCGUUGUCCGGAAUCAUUGGGCGUAAAGCGCGUGUAGGCGGUUACGUAAGUCUGCUGUGAAAGUCGGAGGCUCAACCUUCGAAAGCCGGUGGAUACUGCGUGACUAGAGUACGGAAGAGGAGAGUGGAAUUCCUGGUGUAGCGGUGAAAUGCGCAGAUAUCAGGAGGAACACCAACGGCGAAGGCAGCUCUCUGGGACGUUACUGACGCUGAGGAGCGAAAGCUGGGGGAGCGAACAGG
rnacentral:rRNA from 1 species